rnacentral:rRNA from 1 species
GUGGCGCACGGGUGCGUAACGCGUGGGAAUCUGCCCUUUGCUUCGGAAUAACUUCGGGAAACUGAAGCUAAUACCGGAUAAUGUCGCAAGACCAAAGAUUUAUCGGCAAGGGAUGAGCCCGCGUAGGAUUAGGUAGUUGGUGGGGUAAAGGCCUACCAAGCCGACGAUCAGUAGCUGGUCUGAGAGGAUGUGCAGCCACACUGGGACUGAGACACGGCCCAGACUCCUACGGGAGGCAGCAGUGGGGAAUUUUCCGCAAUGGGCGAAAGCCUGACGGAGCAAUACCGCGUGAGGGAGGAAGGCUCUUGGGUUGUAAACCUCAAAACUUAGGGAAGAAAAAAAUGACGGUACCUAAUGUAAGCAUCGGCUAACUCCGUGCCAGCAGCCGCGGUAAUACGGAGGAUGCAAGCGUUAUCCGGAAUCAUUGGGCGUAAAGAGUCCGUAGGUGGCACUUCAAGUCUGCUUUCAAAGACCGAAGCUCAACUUCGGAAAGGGAGUGGAAACUGAAGAGCUAGAGUAUAGUAGGGGUAGAGGGAAUUCCUAGUGUAGCGGUGAAAUGCGUAGAGAUUAGGAAGAACACCAGUGGCGAAGGCGCUCUACUGGGCAUAUACUGACACUGAGGGACGAAAGCUAGGGGAGCGAAAGGGAUUAGAUACCCCUGUAGUCCUA